rnacentral:rRNA from 1 species
UGGCGGACGGGUGAGUAAUGUCUGGGAAACUGCCUGAUGGAGGGGGGUAACUACUGGAAACGGUAGCUAAUACCGCAUAACGUCGCAAGACCAAAGAGGGGGACCUUAGGGCCUCUUGCCAUCGGAUGUGCCCAGAUGGGAUUAGCUAGUAGGUGGGGGAAGGGCUCACCUAGGCGACGAUCCCUAGCUGGUCUGAGAGGAUGACCAGCCACACUGGAACUGAGACACGGUCCAG